AGCAGCCGCGGUAAUUCCAGCUCCAAUAGCGUAUAUUAAAGUUGUUGCAGUUAAAAAGCUCGUAGUUGAACUUCGGGGUCUACCCAUUGGUCAGGCUUAAUUGUCUGCACUGGUGAGAUGGAUCUCUACCUUCUGAGGAACUUUCAUGCCAUUUAUUUGGUGUGAUGGGAAAUCAGGACUGUUACUUUGAAAAAAUUAGAGUGUUUAAAGCAGACUAUCGUCUGAAUACAUUAGCAUGGAAUAAUGAAAUAGGACGGACUGAUUCUAUUUCGUUGGUUUCUAGGAUCACCGUAAUGAUUAAUAGGGAUAGUUGGGGGCAUUAGUAUUCAAUUGUCAGAGGUGAAAUUCUUGGAUUUAUUGAAGACUAACUACUGCGAAAGCAUUUGCCAAGGAUGUUUUCAUUAAUCAAGAACGAAAGUUAGGGGAUCGAAGACGAUCAGAUACCGUCGUAGUCUUAACCAUAAACUAUGCCGACUAGGGAUCGGACGAAGUUAAUUUUAUAAUGACGCGUUCGGCACCUUACG
rnacentral:ncRNA from 2 species